GACGAAGGUGGCUAGCGUUAUUCGGAUUUACUGGGCAUAAAGCGCGCGUAGGCGGCUCGAUCAGUCGGGGGUGAAAGCCCGCAGCUCAACUGCGGAACUGCCUUCGAUACUGUCGAGCUUGAGGGCGGGAGGGGUGAUUGGAACUCCAGGUGUAGCGGUGAAAUGCGUAGAUAUCUGGAGGAACACCGGAGGCGAAGGCGAAUCACUGGACCGCAUCUGACGCUGAGGCGCGAAAGCUAGGGGAGCAAACAGG
rnacentral:rRNA from 1 species